AAGAAGGAAACAUGAGGGUCAUGUGACUAGCUUGAAACUAGUUUAAGGGGGUUCGAUUCCUUCCUUUCUUG
rnacentral:tRNA from 1 species